rnacentral:rRNA from 1 species
UACGGAGGUGGCGAGCGUUACUCGGUAUGACUUGGUGUAAAGGGUCCGCAGGCGGCCUAAAAAGUGAAAGGUGAAAUCCUUCGGCUCAACCGAAGAAUUGCCUUUCAAACUGAUAGGCUUGAGGAUGGAAGAGGAGAGCGGAACUGUCGGUGUAAAGGUGAAAUUUGUGGAUAUCGACAGGAACGCCCGUGGAGAAGUCGGCUCUCUGGUCCAUUCCUGACGCUCAGGGACGAAAGCUAGGGGAGCAAACAGGAUUAGAUACCCUGGUAGUCCUAGCUGUAAACGAUGGGCACUAGGUGUUUGUCCUUUAUGGAUGGAUGCCGCAGCUAACGCGUUAAGUGCCCCACCUGGGGACUACGGCCGCAAGGCCAAAACUCAAAGGAAUUGACGGGGGCCCGCACAAGCGGUGGAACACGUGGUUUAAUUCGAUGCUACGCGAGGAACCUUACCAGGGCUUGACAUGCAGGAAGUAGUAUCUUGAAAGAGAGUCCGACCGGUAACCAGUCCGGUACCUGCACAGGUGCUGCAUGGUUGUCGUCAGCUCGUGCCGUGAGGUGUUUCCUUAAGUGGAAGAACGAGCGCAACCCUCGCCUUUAGUUGCUAAUCAUGACUUUGUUAUGGUGCACUCUAAAGGGACUGCCCGCGUUAAGUGGGAGGAAGGUGGGGACGACGUCAAAUCCGCAUGGCCCUUAUGUCCUGGGCUACACACGUGUUACAAUGCCUAUUACAACGGGAGGCGAAGCCGUAAGGUGAAGCAAAUCCCUAAAAAGUAGGCUCAGUUCGGAUCGAGGGCUGCAACCUGUCCUCGUGAAGCUGGAAUCGCUAGUAAUGGCGCAUCAUAACGGCGCCGUGAAUACGUUCCCGGGCCU